UACGUAGGGGGCUAGCGUUGUCCGGAAUCAUUGGGCGUAAAGCGCGUGUAGGCGGUCCGGUAAGUCCGCUGUGAAAGUCGGGGGCUCAACCCUCGGAUGCCGGUGGAUACUGUCGGGCUCGAGUACGGAAGAGGCGAGUGGAAUUCCUGGUGUAGCGGUGAAAUGCGCAGAUAUCAGGAGGAACACCGAUUGCGAAGGCAGCUCGCUGGGACGUUACUGACGCUGAGACGCGAAAGCGUGGGGAGCAAACAGG
rnacentral:rRNA from 1 species